ACCAAGGAAAAGGAGCCGGUAUCAGGCUCAACUUUAAGCCCACGACACCUAGCCACGCCACGCCCACAAGGGUAUUCAGCAGUGAUAAACCUUGUUUAUAAGCGCAAGCUUGAAUCAGCUAUGGCAAAGAGGGCCGGCAAAUCCGGUGCCAGCCGCCGCGGCUACACCGUUAGGCCCAAGUUGACACACACCGGCGUUAAGCGUGAUUAGAGUGAUUACACUGAUUAGAGUUAAACCCAAACUUAGUCGUGAUACACUUGUUCCCGGGAAACCCAAAAACGAAAGUUACUCUAACCAACCCACUUGACCCCACGACAGCUAGGACACAACUGGGAUUAGGUACCCACUAUGCCUAGCCGUAAAAUAUACACUCACCCCAUAAAUCGCCAGGGAAUUACGAGCCCAAGCUUAAAACCCAAAGGACUUGACGGUGUCCCACCCACCUAGAGGAGCCUGUUCUAUAAUCGAUUCCCCCCGAUAAACCUCACCACUUCUGGCCAACUCAGCCUGUAUACCUCCGUCGUAAGCUUACCAUGUGAACGAAGCCAGUGAGCCAAAAGAUCCAACAUCAGUACGUCAGGUCAAGGUGCAGCUAACGAACUGGAAAGAAAUGGGCUACAAUUUCUACCAUAGAACAAACGAAAGGCUACAUGAAACAUAGUCACUGAAGGCGGAUUUAGCAGUAAAAAGAAAA
rnacentral:rRNA from 1 species